AAGGCUGGUGAUUAGGCGGCUGAAGGAACUGCACGGGUACCAGAGGCUCAUCAUGAUCGGAGAUGGGGCCACCGACGCUGAAGCAUGCCCGCCCGCUGACGGCUUCAUUGGUUUCGGAGGCAACGUAGUAAGGGAGGAGGUGAAAAAGAGGGCUUCGUGGUACGUCACUGACUUCCAAGACCUUAUCCAGACCCUCAUGGUGCAAGCCAAGUGAACUGUUCCCCAUAAUGAUAGAACAAAUUGAUCUGUGCAGUUGAAAUGUUAUCGUCGACCGACUGCAACUAGUUUGCAGGUAUAUGCACUUGUUUCUAUUAAAUAGAUAAUACGUAGUUUUCGGGGACAGUUUUAGUGGGUCGAACUGUAUGACCGACGAACUUCUACCACCGACUUAACCCUAUAUGGCAGUGGGAUAAAGUUCCCAGCAUAAUUUGAGGAACUUUUUUCCCUUGUUUUUAGGUUCAAACAAUGAAAAAUUUGGACUUGUUAUGCACAUUAAAGGCUUAACUGAUAAUUGACUGAAAAUAACGUUAUAAGUUUCUACUUUCGAGUACCUGACAAUCUUAGUGUCAUUUAAGCCGUAGUUACAUUAUCUUGGAUCGUUGCAUUAAGUCGGUGGUUCAAGCGAUAUUCAGCUAAUUUGUCGGUCGACCCAGUGAAAACUGGCCUUUUUGAAAAUACACAAGUAUUAUGUUUCUCGUUUACAAUGACAGCUAUUUAUUCUAGUUAGAUCUGUUAAUAGUAAUAGAUUCUUAUGUGUAUAAGGUCUAUGUUUUGUGAUAAAGGUUGGGGAUUCUUCAGGUGUUGGAGAUGGAUCGGACUAGUUACAAGUUUGUCUAGAAAAUUAGCAAAAUUUUUUCCAUAGUUAAAAAUACCCCAAGAAAACGCUGACUAUAUUUUUGUGGAAAUGAAAUAAUACGUAUUUUAGUAUUUUUUUAAAUGAACAGUAACAGAUUAUUAACUCAAAGUUUAAAAGGUUUCGUUAUUUGAAUGAACGAAGUCAAUAUGCGUUGAACUGUUACUAAUCAAACUAUUUAAUAUUAUUGACUUACCAAUAUUUCCGGGGGCACUGUCUGUAUGUUUACAGCUUAUAAAUUUUUAGUGUUCAGCGUAUAAAUAUUUAUUGUUCUAUGUAUUAAAGGUUUCAGUUUAUUUUAAUUACUACAUGUUACUGCCAAUUUCAACGCACAGUAAUUCGACUCGAGUUGUAUUUUAGCAUGUGCAUUUAUGGUUAAAUAAAUUUUAAUAGUUUCUAUAAUGUGAUGGUCGUACUAUGAGUACAAAAUUGUAUAAUAAGUAUUUUUGAGACGAAGUCUCGAGUCGUAACUAUUCGGAAAUCGUAAACAAAGAAUAUUAGUGACUAAAUUUAAUAGUAUACAAUAUUAUUAUGUUUUAUUUAGUUGGUUAAGUAGAUUAAUUAAUUAUAGA